rnacentral:rRNA from 1 species
UGUCAAAUCUGAAUCAAACUAAGAAAUAAGUUAAAACUUUCAACAACGGAUCUCUUGGUUCUGGCAUCGAUGAAGAACGCAGCGAAAUGCGAUAAGUAAUGUGAAUUGCAGAAUUCAGUGAAUCAUCGAAUCUUUGAACGCACAUUGCGCCCAUUAGUAUUCUAGUGGGCAUGCCUGUUCGAGCGUCAUUUCAACCCUUAAGCCUAGCUUAGUGUUGGGAGACUGCCUAAUACGCAGCUCCUCAAAACCAGUGGCGGAGUCUGUUCGUGCUCUGAGCGUAGUAAUUUUUUAUCUCGCUUCUGCAAGCCGGCCAGACGACAGCCAUAAACCGCACCCUCUCGGGGGGCACUUUUUUAAUGGUUGACCUCGGAUCAGGUAGGAAUACCCGCUGAACUUAAGCAUAUCAAUAAGCGGAGGAAAAGAAACCAACAGGGAUUGCCCUAGUAACGGCGAGUGAAGCGGCAACAGCUCAAAUUUGAAAUCUGGCCUUCUGGUCCGAAUUGUAAUUUGUAGAGGAUGCUUUUGGUUAGGUACCCUUUCGAGUUCCUUGGAACAGGACGCCUUA